GACGAACGCUGGCGGCGUGCUUAACACAUGCAAGUCGAACGAAAAGAGGGAAAGAGCUUGCUCUUUCCGGAAUUGAGUGGCAAACGGGUGAGUAACACGUAAACAACCUGCCUUCAGGAUGGGGACAACAGACGGAAACGACUGCUAAUACCGAAUAAGUUCCAAGAGCCGCAUGGCCCAUGGAAGAAAAGGUGGCCUCUACCUGUAAGCUAUCGCCUGAAGAGGGGUUUGCGUCUGAUUAGCUGGUUGGAGGGGUAACGGCCCACCAAGGCGACGAUCAGUAGCCGGUCUGAGAGGAUGAACGGCCACACUGGAACUGAGACACGGUCCAGACUCCUACGGGAGGCAGCAGUGGGGAAUCUUCCGCAAUGGGCGAAAGCCUGACGGAGCAACGCCGCGUGAGUGAUGACGGCCUUCGGGUUGUAAAACUCUGUGAUCCGGGACGAAAAGGCAGAGUGCGAAGAACAAACUGCAUUGACGG
rnacentral:rRNA from 1 species